AUUGAACGCUGGCGGCAGGCCUAACACAUGCAAGUCGAACGAGUGGCGGACGGGUGAGUAAUGUCUGGGAAACUGCCCGAUGGAGGGGGAUAACUACUGGAAACGGUAGCUAAUACCGCAUACCAUCUGAUGUGCCCAGAUGGGAUUAGCUUGUAGGUGAGGUAACGGCUCACCUAGGCGACGAUCCCUAGCUGGUCUGAGAGGUUGACCGGCCACACUGGAACUGAGACCCGGUCCAGACUCCUACGGGAGGCAGCGGUGGGGAAUAUUGGACAAUGGGCGCAAGCCUGAUGCAGCACUGCCGCGUGUAUGAAGAAGGCCUUCGGGUUGUAAAGUACUUUCAGCGGGGAGGCGUUACCCGCAGAAGAAGCACCGGCUAACUCCGUGCCAGCAGCCGCGGUAAUUC
rnacentral:rRNA from 1 species